AGCAGAAGCCUUUCGGCUUACGUCAUGUUUUUGGGGUUCUGAGAUUUAGCUUGAUACGGGGCUAAUAUCAGAACCCCCAAAACAUGACCUGAGCCGAAAUCAGACAGCCACCCUGGUGCCCCCUCAACUGACUUAGUUUAAAAAAAAGGAAUGAACAGAAUAAUAUCAGUGAAGUUUGGAAAUUUUGGUCUCUGUAGUUAAAUAUUUCACUCUUCUUAAUGUUAAAUAUUUUUUUUUAGAUAAAGUAAAAUUUUGGCCUAUUCUCCUAUUGCAGGUAAGAUGAAAUCAAUACAUUUUGAAUUUCAUUGCUAUAUAAUUAUAAUAUUUGUGAUUUUGCCACCAAUAUUAUAAGAAUAUGAUCCCCAUGGCCCUGUGGACUUUUUGUUGCAUGAUCGUAUUAUGAGAUUAUUUACUAUUACUGUUAACAAUGAAAACACUGGAACUUAUUUAUAUUAAUGUGUAAUACAAAAGCAGUCAUGUAUAUGUAUGUGUGUAUUGAUACGUGUCUGCCUAUAUGUGUGUAUGUAUAUACAUAUGUAUUAAUGAGUGAAAUGGCAUUUUUGACUCCAGUGUUUUUGCCUUACAUUGAAAUCCUUGGAUCCCAUCGCAAAAACAAAAAAUAACUUUCUAAUUGUCAAAUCCUUUUCCAAUGCUGGAGCUGGAAUUAAUAUCUCAAUCGCCUCCUGACUCUUAAACUGGUGACAUUUCAUGACUGCCACGUAGGAGGAAAGAAACCUACAAGUGAAGCCAAUGGACUCGGAUUCUGUGUCAUUCUCUACUUGCACUUCAUUGCACUCCUGCUGUCAAGUCUGGUGUCUGUGGCACGUCAUCGGGUACUGCUGCCCAAGCUGUGCACUCCAUGGGCUGUCAUUCAGGCAAGGAGCUGUGUGCAAUAGAACUCCCUGGGAGAACAGAGAGAGCACACUGGGGGGCCAGGGGAGGUGGGAAAGCUGGGUCUGCUUCAAAGGAGAAAUGUGGGGACGCCUGGGUGGCUCAGCAGUUGAGCAUCUGCCUUCAGCUCAGGGCGUGAUCCCGGGGUUUAAGGAUCGAGUCCUGCAUUGGGCUUCCCACAGGGAUCCUGCUUCUCCCUCUGCCUAUGUCUCUGCCUCUCUCUCUAUGUCUCUCAUGAAUAAAUAAAUAAAAUCUUUAUUUUUUUUAAAGGAGAAAUA
rnacentral:lncRNA from 1 species